CACGUUGCUGGUAUACUUUAGUCAGUCAGUUGUGUUCCAAAGCGUACAGGACACAUUUGCCGUAUUUCUUGAAUUAUUUUACUCGUGGUACCGUUAAAAAACACAAAACUUAAACAAAAUGUGUGACGAUGAGGUUGCUGCUUUGGUCGUUGAUAAUGGCUCCGGUAUGUGCAAGGCCGGUUUCGCCGGUGAUGACGCACCCCGUGCUGUCUUCCCCUCAAUUGUAGGUCGCCCACGUCAUCAAGGUGUCAUGGUUGGUAUGGGCCAAAAGGAUUCCUAUGUAGGUGAUGAAGCCCAAUCCAAGAGAGGUAUCUUGACCCUCAAAUACCCAAUUGAACACGGUAUCAUCACCAACUGGGAUGAUAUGGAAAAGAUCUGGCAUCACACCUUCUACAAUGAAUUGCGUGUUGCCCCAGAAGAGCACCCAGUCUUGCUCACUGAAGCCCCAUUGAACCCAAAGGCUAACCGCGAGAAGAUGACCCAAAUCAUGUUCGAAACCUUCAACUCACCAGCUAUGUAUGUUGCCAUCCAAGCUGUACUCUCCUUGUACGCUUCCGGUCGUACCACUGGUAUCGUUUUGGAUUCUGGUGAUGGUGUCUCACACACUGUACCAAUCUAUGAAGGUUAUGCUUUGCCCCAUGCCAUCCUCCGUUUGGAUUUGGCUGGUCGCGAUUUGACCGACUACUUGAUGAAGAUCUUGACUGAACGUGGUUACUCAUUCACCACCACUGCCGAACGUGAAAUUGUUCGUGACAUUAAGGAAAAAUUGUGCUAUGUUGCUUUGGACUUCGAACAAGAAAUGGCCACCGCUGCCGCCUCCACCUCAUUGGAGAAAUCCUAUGAACUUCCUGACGGUCAAGUUAUCACCAUUGGUAAUGAACGUUUCCGUUGCCCAGAAUCCCUCUUCCAACCUUCCUUCUUGGGUAUGGAAUCAUGCGGUAUCCAUGAAACCGUCUACAACUCAAUCAUGAAGUGCGACGUAGAUAUCCGUAAGGACUUGUACGCCAACAUUGUCAUGUCUGGUGGUACCACCAUGUACCCAGGUAUUGCCGAUCGUAUGCAAAAGGAAAUCACCGCCUUGGCUCCAUCAACCAUCAAGAUCAAGAUCAUUGCCCCACCAGAACGUAAAUACUCCGUAUGGAUCGGUGGUUCCAUCUUGGCUUCCCUCUCCACCUUCCAACAGAUGUGGAUCUCAAAGGAAGAAUACGACGAAUCCGGCCCAGGCAUUGUCCACCGCAAGUGCUUCUAAGCUAUUUAAUAAUAUUAUACAACACACAUGUACCUACUUUUGUAAAUGUAUUGGUGUUAAUCAACAUUAUAUACAUUUGCAAGAGUAUACAUACGCC